UCCCUGGUGGCUCAGAUGGUAAAGCAUCUGCCCGCAAUGCAGAAGACCUGGGUUCAAUCCCUGGGUUGGGAA
rfam:TPA: Bos taurus chromosome 27, whole genome shotgun sequence.